ensembl:lncRNA MATN1-AS1 MATN1 antisense RNA 1
GGCAGCUCUGAGAUGCCCGGAGGGAUGUGAUGCCCCAUCGCCAAAUUGGGGUCUCUAAGGUGAGGAAACCGAGCACCAGUGACAUGACGUCACUUGCUCGGGGUGGCACAGCUAGUAUGGUGGAGCAGGGCGUGAACCCAGGCAGGCUGGUGGCGGAGGCCACACCUUCACUCCUCCCAUAAGCAUCUGGCCUGUCUGCAAUGUCUUCAAGGGGCUCAGACUGGUCGGGAACCAAGGUCAACUAAACUGAAAUGAUUCUAUGAAAUGGCCACCUCACGGGGCAUCAUGGGAAUCAAAGUGUCUGCAGGCAAAGCUCAUAACUCCGAGCGGGAGCCUCCAAACAGCAGCAUCCUAGCAGGGUGGCGUGCACGUACCUUGCUGAUGUCAGGGGACCUGGAACGACCACCCUCUGCAUCGCCGAAGGCUUUGGUGAUAGCGAACUGGAUGGCCAGGCCGGUCAUGGUGCCUGUGGACAGCGGCUGGAUACGGCGCACAGCCUGCAGCAGUGCGGCCUUGGAGACAUGAGCCCGCAGCGAGAACUCCUGCUUCACGGUGCUGGCAUAGUUGACCAUGCCCACCCGGGUGGCAUUGGGCCCCACGUCCAGCGACUCGAUGACCUGGGACAGGAAUACCUUCACUUUCUCAAAUUCAACAGGCCGAACGCUGCGAGAGCUGUCGACAACAAACACCAGGGUCACACAAGGGCCAUCCACGGUGACCAGCGGUGAGAAACGCAAUGCUGUCCUCGUGCCAUGCUGGAGGUGAACGAGGAGAACGUGAGCUGGGGUCUCCUCACCAACUGCUCCCCCCACCCCAACCCCCCUGACGGCCAGGGCUGUGUCCAGGGCUCAGGGCACAAGGCUCCGUUAGCUGGGCAGCAGCUGGCCCAUGAAACAGCCCUUUCAGCUCCACCUCUGAAUGGCAGUUCUAUGGGCUCCUCGGAAGAACACAGGCGCCUUCUCUGUGUCACUUCUCCGCUCAUUAGCAGAGCUGCAGAAAUACACUACAGGACUCAAAAUUGAGAACAGUGUGUCCGGUAUGAGCCAGAAGGAAAAAAAAAUGCACGAAGGGGCCUUCUGCAAGGUUGCUCACAAGUCAAACAGGCAGCUGUGAAGGGCUCUGCUGUUCCCUCCUCCUGUUUUCACAUCCCUCGGGCUUCCAGAAACUUAAAGCCGUUAGUGUUUCAUGCAAGAGAGAGCAUCUGUGAUCCACGGAGAGGCCCCUGGGCAGUGUGGUUCAGUGGGAAGCACACAGGACUCCCUCCCCAGUGCUCCCAGGAUCAGCUCUUUCCCUAAAGAGCAAACCUGGUUAUCUCGCAAUGACCUAGCUAACACAAAUGCAACAUCAGCCGGGGCAGCCUGCCCCCUUCACUCUUUGCCCACCAUCAGCUGUUUGGCAGUAUCCAUAUACGCCUUUACCAGUAUUUAUUUAAUCUUUUUGUUUAAUUCACUCUAAACCAACUCACUUCUUAAAAAUUUCUCUGCCUUAUAAGAAAUAAUAGCCAUGAAAUCACUGGUUUGAUGUACGGUU